AGAAGAUCUCUGAACCAAUGCAGACGUCUGAUGGACAGCGGACGGUUUCUGUCUUGUCCUUUAGAGAUUGUGGACUAACAUGAGCCGAGGAACCGACUGAAUGAUCACCAGGAGCCUCAGGAGGAGGACAGAAUUCCAGCCAGAGGACAGCUGCUGCUGCUGUUGCUGCUGCAUACGCUGCAUACGCUGCAGCCACCGUUGUCAAUGCACCCGCCUCCGUUGCCGUUGCUGGUGGUGACGAUGAUGAUGUCAUGGAGUGGGAGUCUGCAGGGGAGGAACCGAUGGAGUGGGAAUCUGCUGGGACAGUA